GCCAUAGAGAGGAGACGCUUGGAGAGGGUCAAGAUCGAGGAGCGGAGAAAAGAGAGUGCAAAAGAAGGAAAAGGAAGGGUGAGGGAGGGAAAGAGGCAAAAAAGAAAGAAGGCGAGAAUAGCCAGAGCGCAGAGGGAGCGCGAGUCGAGCCGAGCCAAGCGCUGGCGGCUGCGGCGCGGCGCUCCGCUCCGUCCGUAGCUCCGCGCCGGCUUUUGAGGGCGGCCGGCGGCGCGGGGCCCUUUGGAAAUAGAAUAGCCAAUGUAAUCUGACACUUCAACUUGCUCGGCUCCGGGCGAGUUGAUUCACUUACUCACCCCCUAACGCCGAGUUCCUUUUCACUGUCUGUGGACAUUAAAAAAGCGAGCGGCGGCGGGCGCCCGGGAGAGCGAGCGACCGGGCGGCGAGAGGGCGAGCAGCGACCGGGCGGCCGAGCGAACGAGCAGCGCCGGCGCAGCUCAGUGACCCUAGCCCCGGUCGGCGCGCAGCCGGAGCCGGAGCGGAGCCGAUCUCGGCGACCUCGCAGCGCUCCUCCCGGCCCGAGCCGGCCCUGCCCGGCAGUGGCGGCGGCGGCAGUGGCAGCGGCGCGUCCUCCAGCGGCGGCAGCGGCUCUCGCAGCGCUCGGACAGAAGAAUCUCCUUGUCCCAAGUCGUGAGGUUAUGAAAUGCUGUUUUCACAUGAGGUGGGAGUGCAGAGGACUUUCUGUCUUGGGGAGAUAAAAGAGCCCGUUUGGGAUGAUUUUGAUCAGCUUGAGCAAGUCGGUUUGACUUACAGGAAGAAGCCAAUUUGCAUCUUGGGAAAGAACUGAGUGUCAGGCCGAGAGCUUCUGCAGUAAUGUUUGUUCGUGGCCACCCUGCCUGGCCCCUCUGCUCCGAUGGGGAUCGUCAGUCUGUCUGCUAUGACUGUUCUGGCGGCGGAUGCACCGCUCCCCUGUCCUCUCAUCGUCCUGCUCUUGCCUUGGGCCUGGAAGGCACCUAACAAAUCCUGCUGUGUGUUCACCCAGAGACCCCACCUGGACCCCGCACUCCUGGGAGGUGCCCAGUUAUUCUACAGGUAUGGGGCUCUCUUUCCCUCAGAGUCCAGUCUUCGUUGUUCCAAGCCUUUCGAGGACCCAUGUCUCAUGGCCACCUGGGAUCCCCAUACCUCGAUCACGUGGCCAGUUUGAACAUUGGCAGAUGGCAUCACUAAAGGCGCCUUGAGUGUGUCCUGUGUCUGGUCACUUAGCACGACGUCUACUUUGUUUGCUGAAACUGUUGUCUCCUGAGCUCCCUGUGAGCAGGCUCCUCACCCCCAUUUCGUAG
rnacentral:lncRNA from 1 species